UACAUAGGGUGCGAGCGUUGCCCGGAUUUAUUGGGCGUAAAGGGCGCGUAGGCGGUCACGCACGUCCGUUGUGAAAUCGCUCGGCUCAACUGGGCGGGGUCAGCGGAUACGGUGUGACUGGAGCAAGCUAGGGGGCAAUGGAAUUCCCGGUGUAGUGGUGGAAUGCGUAGAUAUCGGGAGGAACACCAGUGGCGAAGGCGGUUGCCUGGAGCUUUGCUGACGCUGAUGCGCGAAAGCGUGGGGAGCGAUCCGG
rnacentral:rRNA from 1 species